CCUACGGGAGGCAGCAGUGAGGAAUAUUGGGCAAUGGACGCAAGCCUGAACCAGCCACGCCGCGUGAAGGAAGAAGGCUUUAGGGUUGGAAACUUCUUUUCGCAGGGACGAAAAAGGAGACGGUACCUGAGGAAUGAGACACGCCUAACAACGAGCCACCAGCCGCUGUAAGACGUAGGAGGCAGGCGUUAUGAGGAUUUAAUGGGUAUAAAGGGCGAGUAGGCGGGAAGGCAAGGCAGAGGUGAAAACCAUGGGCUGGACCUAUGUCGGGACUUUGAAACGGUUUUUCUUGAGUACUGGAGAGGUAGACGGAAUGCUUGGUGUAGCGGUGAAAUGCGUAGAGAUCAUGCGGAACACCAGUGGCGAAGGCGGCCUGCCGGACAGCUACUGACGCUGAGGCGCGAAAGCGUGGGGAGCAAACAGGAUUAGAUACCCUUGUAGUC
rnacentral:rRNA from 1 species